rnacentral:lncRNA from 1 species
UACUGUAUUUUUUGUCCAAUCACACUGUUUAGAUACAUUGACCUAAGUACGUAUACACAAACGAGCAACCUAAAUUCUGGAAUGCAAAUACUACCGUGCCACCUACAAGCGGAUUCCAGUUUAGCCGUCCGUCUGUUAUUCAAACACAUAUGAAACUUUGCUUUCGACAAUUUUGAAUAAAACUUAACUAUUUACAUUUAUUUAGGGGCUCAUUUAAGCGGAGGAAGUUCCCUUUGUAUUGUGAAUCUUGUAUGAUAUUAGAAAUUCGUUACCGGCUGAAUCAGCUGUCAUCUUUUUAAAACGCGUCUCCCGAUCGUACGAGAACAUUAUGGUCAAUGCCCGAGUAGUUAAACACUCCCAUUCGUUGUAGCAGGGACUUUCUACACUAAGUAAAUUCUAGUAUUAAAAGUCCCUGGUUGUAGUUAUACACAUGUCUGUUCAGCUUUCAACAAUAUUGAAAUUCAAUGUCCUCGAUAAAGAAAAUAUCUUGCGAUCUCUGAUCUUGCUUUAUUUAUUUUUUUAACUUACCAGUUUGAUUUCUAACAAAAAAAUCUUUAAAUACAGAUAAUAAAUGUUUUCAUAAAAAUUGCUUCCAGGAUCCAGCAAUACUGAUGUUUCUUAACGUAAGGAAAACGAAGGAAAACGGGUUACUUAUAGCCAUGUUGAGAAAAAAAUACGCGUUUUCAAUGUAUUUAGUCACGGUUAAUAAUUAUAGGUCAAAGUACGGCAUUCAAGACGGAGCCUUGGCGCACCCGAACAGCAAUCUCAGCUUGUUUUUGGCAUAAAAAUUGCUUCCAGGUUCAAGCAAUACUGAUGUUUCUUUAAGUAAGGAAAUCGAAGAAAAACGGGUCAUUUUUAGACAUUUUACUGAGAUAAAAAAAUCGGCGCCAGGCCCCCAAACCCUGCCUCCCCUGCAUUCGAACCCUAGUUACG